UUCACUCGGUGCCUAGCCGGCUUGAACCCCCUAGAGGAGAGGAGACGUCUCCCCGAGAGUAUUCUAAAGGAUGGAUAAAGGGCGCAGCCUUUACUAAGCAAGUGUCGUGUACAGUUGGUGGGCUGUGAAACAAGACAAAGCUCCCGGAGAGGAGGGGACUGCGGUACACAAAGGAGCGCAUGGUCUGGAAACAAAACAAAGCCGUCAGACAGAGGACGCCCUCUUAAAGGAUCCGGCACACAAAGGAGUGCUGGGUCACUGCGAGAAUUCCCCAAUCUGCCUUCUUUCCUCGCUACCGCUCCCUCAAGUCUCGCGAUGUCCAGCAGGAGGGAGGGGGGAGCGGAGGAGCGAGAGUUCCCGACUUCCGGCUCGCUCCAGCCUGUCGUCUCCCGGGCGGUCCGGUCCAGUCAUCCUUGCGUCCCGGCGACCGCGGAGCCCGCGUCUCCCGGCCCCCCACCCCCUCGGUCUUUCUUGCUUGCGUAGUCUCCGCGCUGCGGCUCCCGCGGCCCACACCCUGGGGCCCGGGGCCCACGAGACCUCCGGGGCCUGCACCGCGGGGCCGGGGGCGGCCCCGUCCCCGCCUCGGCCCCCUGGGACUCGAUGAGGCACAGCUUGACGAAGCUGCUGGCGGCCUCGGGCAGCGGCUCCCCGGCCAGGAGCGGGAGCCCGGCGCCGGUGCCCUCCCCGGCCUCGGGCUGUCUGCGCCCCCCGGGCCUGGCCCGGGCGGUGGCCGGGGAGGAGGGCUGCGGCGGCGGCGGCGGCGGCGGCGAGGAGGAGGAGGAAGAAGGGGACGGACCUCCGCGACGGCAGGAGGGCGCUCCGGAGGCCGCGCCUGCUGAGGAGAAGAUGGAGGAGGAGGAGGAGCCGCCUGCGGCCGCCGCCCGCUGCGAGGAGCCGGAGGACAUGGACUUUCUGUCGGGCCUCGAGCUGGCCGACCUGCUGGACCCCCGACAGCCAGACUGGGACCUGGAGCAGGGUCUGAGUUCGCCGGGGCCGCUGUCGUCGGGGGGCGGCUCGGACAGCGGCUGCCUGUGGAGAGGAGACGACGACGACGAGAUGGCGGCCGCGGCCGCCGAGAUGCAGCGAUUUUCGGACCUGCUGCAGAGAUUGGUGAACGGCGGCGGCGGCGGCGGCUUCGGCCCGGGCCCGGGAUCCGGCUCCGGCCCGGGCGGCUCCGGCAUUGGUGGUUGCGGCGGCGGCGGCGGUGGCGGCGGCAGCAGCGCCGGGACCUGCGCCGGCUCCGGCUCCGGCGGCGAGAGGAGGCGGAGGCGGAACCCGGGAGCGGGGGGCGGCGACGGCGGCGGCGGCGGCGGCGGGAGCAGCCACGGCCCGGCGGCGGCCAAGAGCCCCCGCAAAGCGGCCGCCGCCGCGGCCCGUCUCAACCGGCUGAAGAAGAAGGAGUACGUGAUGGGGCUGGAGAGCCGCGUCCGGGGCCUGGCCGCCGAGAACCAGGAGCUGCGGGCCGAGAACCGGGAGCUGGGCAAGCGCGUGCAGGCGCUGCAGGAGGAGAGCCGCUACCUGCGGGCCGUGCUGGCCAACGAGACCGGCCUGGCGCGCUUGCUGAGCCGCCUGAGCGGCGGGGGGCUGCGCCUCACCACCUCCCUCUUCAGGGACCCGCCCGCCGGCGACCACGACUACGCCCUGCCCCUGGGCCAGCGGCGGCACGACGCCGGGCAGGACGACGAGCCCGCUGGGGGAGUGUGUCUCCACGUGGACAAGGAGAAGGUGUCGGUGGAGUUCUGCUCGGCCUGUGCCAGGAAGGCCUCGGCUUCUCUCAAAAUUUUCUUUUUUAGGUGAUUUCCUCCCUGCCAGGCUCCGUUGUAGGGGUUACAGAACAGUCGUACCCGCCUCACAACCUGGUAAGGAUCCAUCUCUUCCCCUAAAAGCUCAUGCACUGCUGGUUAGUCUACUUUAAUGGGCAGACGUACACAAUUGUUCGUAUUGGGGGAUUUAAAACAAAACAAAAGACGAACCUAAUUUGGGCCCUGUCCACCCUGGAAACAGACUCGUGCUGGCCACUAGUGUGUUUAAGAUGUUCCCUCUGAAACAGCUCUUGGUGUGUGUGCCCUUGUUCAAACUUACUUGUACCUAGCUGUUCUGUCCCCAGUGUGGACAUGGCCUUCGAUGACAUCGUUCCAACUGUGCAGUGAAACCUGCUUAUAGCCAUACAGUUUGGACACAGUGAAAAAGGUGAAGUUGAAUGGAAGUUCCAGUUGUACAAGGUGCAAAUUGGAAUUCCAGUCGGAGUGCAAUUUUGCAGGGGUUGGCUAUAUGAUUAAAUUCUCUUGUACUUUUCAAACAGCUUUGAGUAUUUGGGGCAUGAACAAAUAUUCUGUAGUUCUAAUAGAGAUGGUAAAAUCUCUUGAAUAUUCAGGAAUGCCUCUUAGUUUCCUAUAUAAGAUAUAUAAACUUAUACAGGCUCAUUAGAUUACAGAUCUAAAUAUCAUCGUUAGAGAAUUGGAAAUUAUAUGCAUACCAGGCUCCUUUCUUUAGUUAGCAGCCAUUGAGAAGAGUAAUAAUGUCUAAAUACAAAUGUUUCCUUGAGGACCAGCACAGUGAUUCAGUCACUGAAUAUGAAUGAAUUGUUGAAUAUCUUUAUUUUGUUGUAUUAAAAUUUAUUGGUUAAAUUUGUGUCUGUAUCAUUAGAAAUUUUAAAGAUGGUUAAAUGAAUGAAAAAAUGUAAAGUGAGGUUUCACAAAGGAUGAAUUUUAGAACUCCAAAUAUAAAAACUAAGAAAUAUGUCUACUUUUUAGUAAAUGAAAAAUGUUGCUGUUAACUAACCAAGGAGGUUAAAAACAUUUGAUACUUAGUAGAGAAGCUUUUUCCAUCGCUGGGCUGCUCUCUUUGAGUACACUGGUUAUACCUGUUACUAGGGCUAUAAUGUAUUUCAAGAGGAGACUAAUAGAAAUUCUUUGUGAAACAUCACUGUUUGAUAAAGUAUACGUGUAUUUAGCAUCCUUGUUUUUCUUUAUGCUAAAGUGGAUACAGCUGUUGGGGCAGAAGAGACGGGACCAGCUGCUGGCCACAUUUCCUGCUUUAUUUUAAAAGCUUAGCAGUGUCUGCAAAAACGAAUCUUUUCCUACAACCUGUAACUGACUGGACUGAUGGUAACAAAGUAGUUGUGGGAGCCAUAUCGGUCACAAAUAUUGGCAUCUGCUGAAAAAUGAAUGCCAUUUCAAGCCCCCAAAUUACUUCUAUACUGAUUUCACUUUCCUGAAGUGGAGAUUUGAAAAGAUUCUCUGGAAUCCUUGAAAGACUUAAUAGAAACACAUGAGACUAAUGGGUUAAUUUUUGGAUAAAAUAUCCUUGUCUUUCAGAGGAGUAUAAUUCAGUUCUUUGCAGUACCCUUUAAAAUUGGAACUGCCAUUUGCACAAGAGAAUUACAUAUUAUUUUAUCUAGUACUUUUCGGUUUCUUUAGCAAGGAACAGAGACUAGUGAAUUACAUUUCAUAAAAUAGAAUUAAAUCAAUAGGCCAUCAAUGGUUGUAAGGUGUACAUAAUUUGUGCUCACUUAACUGUAUGUAACAUGGCAGUCUGUGUGAAGCUGAUGCAUUAACUUUGCUGAACUUAGUAAACUAAUUAAUGCAAAGUUCAGUAUUUAAAGGGCAGUCCUUUUGUAGAUGUUAAAUUGUUUUGUUUUCAUAUUCAUGGAGGAAUUUUGGUUGGUAAAAAUGUGAGACUAUCUUAUAUAACUGAGAAGUUACAUAGGCAAGAAAUAAUGGAUUUUUUCCUAUUAUAAUUAAUUUGACAAUGUUGGGAAUAAUUUGAAGCUUCUAAUAACUCUUGUAUUAGUUUUUAUUCACACUUUAAUGUCAAAUGGUCUAAUGUUAUGUAAUGGCUUUAACAUUCUGGAUUUUAGAAGUGACUUCUUUGUAGCAAAUGGUUUUAUGCCAUAUAUAUUUUCCCAGCUUAUGAUAUGUGAUAGAGUCUCAUAGAACUCUGGAUUUCAACAAAUUUUACUUGCUAGCUCCUCCCACAAUCUUUGGGGCUAAUGUUAACAAGUAUGGUUGGAUUCAAGGGAUAGAUAGGUUCCUGUUCUCCAUAAAGACUAAAUAAAUAAAUGAGUUUAUUGAAGGAAGCCAUCAAAACUUAAUUCAAGUCUGCUAAACCCAUUCUAUUGUUAGUAGAAAUGAGGAGUCUUGGCAAGAAUUAGUCGGAUGCCUAGGGAAUUCUGAGCAUUUCUGGCUCUAUCCAGGCACAGUAUUGAUAAAGCAGGGCCAUCUCUCUGCCAUUAUUCAUGGAGUUAUGGACUUACAUGCGAAAUACUGGCACAAUCCCUUCUGCAGGGCUAGAGAGUUCUUUUUGACAAGAUACCAGAUAAAACUGAUAAUUAAGAUUUGUGCAGUUCAUUGUUUUGGAGUUAUGGAGCUGAGGUCCUUGCUAAUACCUUGAUAUGUAUAACUGAACUUCAGAGCUACGGGACCUUAGAGAUUUUGGGCACUGACUUAACUAAGAAUCAGUAACAAUAUUUUUUUUAAAGUGUUUUCCCAGGCCCACUAGAAUCUGAAGUUUGAGGAAUUUUGAAAAUUUGUCAUUCCAGGUCCCUUGUUUUUGUUUUCAUGCCUUAAAGUACACUGAGAAAUACAUUAAAAUACACAGAAUGCAUUCAGAAGGUAUUUAAGGAUAUUUCAGCACUUUAAGAACAGAUAUCAUUAUAAAGAUUAAUUACUGAUGAGCAAUACUGUAAAAAGGUGAUCUGAUUAUUUACAUUUUGGAUAAAUUUGAGGUUUGCUAUUUAUAUAUCUUUUUUCCCUUGCUGUAAUCUCUUAAAUUGCUGCCACCUGUUGGAUUUCUCUGUGCUGGAAUUUUUAACACUAUUGCUUUUUUCCCUACUGGGAAGUAUUUUAAAAUAAUUUAAGUUUGAGCAGCUAUAGAACUAAGUACAUAUAAUUGACAUAACAUUUUGUGCUUUAUUUUCAACUUAGAUUUUUGUUUAAUCUUUUGCCAAAUUGCAGUGAAACCAAUUGAAAACAUACUCUAGCCACUGGGGCAUGUUUUGAAGAGUAUAAAUUGUAAAUUUCAGUUAAAUCCUAUUUGGGCUCUUAAGUAAUUAAUGUUUUAUCUAAUUGCAGUGUGCAAAUUAUUGGUAGCCUCAAAACAAUAAGAGUUUCGUCCAGUAUCACUUGUAGAUAUUGCAUCUUUCCCUGGCUUUUAGAAUUGAGUAACUUGGGUUAUGAAGUUAGUGUAUUAUGGUAAUUAGAACAUAAUACAAUUUAAUCUUUUUUGUUGAAGCAGUAAUGAUAAUUUUCAUACAACUAAUUGUAAAUAUGCUGUAAGAAACACCUGAGAACAAUUUGAAAAUAGAUAACCAUUUAAGAAAAUAUGGGAAAUUGUAAAUGUUUAAUGUGUAAGUUAAAAAAAAAUGAAUACAAUUCAAAAUAUUAAAGUGUUGAACCAACAUUUACUAUAUGUGAAAGAGAAGGGAACAUUUAUGUAAUCUAAAUUCAUUGAAACAUUUAUUGAACAUUAUGUGCAAGACACUUUUGGCACCAUGAAGGGGAAAUACCUGUAAGACAUAAGGUAGUAUGUAGUAAAUUUAAAAAAAUAAUUUGAAUAGUUUAAAGAUGCUUUAACAGUUCUGCCAGUUUCAUACAGUUUGUCAGUCAUGGUUUUGGCCUUAAAUAGUAUUAUGCCUAUGUUUUGAGAAAAUGUGCUGGCAAAAGAAAAUAUGGACUUUAAGGAUAUGAUUCAUAAGUUCUUGAUUUAACCAAUGACAUAGGGGUGUUUGUUUAAAAAACAAAAA